rnacentral:rRNA from 1 species
CUACGGGAGGCAGCAGUGGGGAAUAUUGCGCAAUGGGCGAAAGCCUGACGCAGCAACGCCGCGUGGGGGAUGAAGGUUCUCGGAUUGUAAACCCCUUUCGAUCGGAACGAAUCUCCUCUUGGUAAAUAAUCAGGAGGAUCGACGGUACCGGGAGAAGAAGCCACGGCUAACUCUGUGCCAGCAGCCGCGGUAAGACAGGGGUGGCGAGCGUUGUUCGGAUUUAUUGGGCGUAAAGCGAACGCAGGUGGUUUGGUAAGUCAGAGGUGAAAGUCCACAGCUUAACUGUGGCACUGCCUUUGAUACUGCCUUUCUAGAGUGCAUGAGGGGGAAGCGGAAUUCCGAGUGUAGAGGUGAAAUUCGUAGAUAUUCGGAGGAACACCGGUGGCGAAGGCGGCUUCCUGGCAUGUAACUGACACUCAUGUUCGAAAGCGUGGGUAGCAAACAGGAUUAGAUACCCUGGUAGUCCACGCCCUAAACGAUGGGCACUAGGUGUGGGAGGUAUCGACCCCUUCCGUGCCGCAGCUAACGCAUUAAGUGCCCCGCCUGGGGAGUACGGCCGCAAGGUUGAAACUCAAAUGAAUUGACGG